UGGGGAAUAUUGCACAAUGGGCGAAAGCCUGAUGCAGCAACGCCGCGUGAGGGACGACGGCCUUCGGGUUGUAAACCUCUUUUAGCAAGGAAGAAGCGAAAGUGACGGUACUUGCAGAAAAAGCGCCGGCUAACUACGUGCCAGCAGCCGCGGUAAUACGUAGGGCGCAAGCGUUAUCCGGAAUUAUUGGGCGUAAAGAGCUCGUAGGCGGUUUGUCGCGUCUGCUGUGAAAACCCGAGGCUCAACCUCGGGCCUGCAGUGGGUACGGGCAGACUAGAGUGCGGUAGGGGAGAUUGGAACUCCUGGUGUAGCGGUGGAAUGCGCAGAUAUCAGGAAGAACACCGAUGGCGAAGGCAGAUCUCUGGGCCGUAACUGACGCUGAGGAGCGAAACGGGUGGGGAGCAAACAGGCUUAGAUGACCCU
rnacentral:rRNA from 1 species